AAAUAUGCGUUAGGGACUGCAGCGAAAAUCCUUUUUUGAUUUGCCUUUUCGGCGAAGCAAAAAAGAUUGCAGCGAAAGGCGCGACCCUUG
rnacentral:sRNA from 1 species